rnacentral:rRNA from 1 species
UGAACGCUGGCGGUAGGCCUAACACAUGCACGUCGAACGGCAGCACAGUAAGAGCUUGCUCUUACGGGUGGCGAGUGGCGGACGGGUGAGGAAUACAUCGGAAUCUACUUUUUCGUGGGGGAUAACGUAGGGAAACUUACGCUAAUACCGCAUACGACCUACGGGUGAAAGCAGGGGAUCUUCGGACCUUGCGCGAUUGAAUGAGCCGAUGUCGGAUUAGCUAGUUGGCGGGGUAAAGCCCACCAAGGCGACGAUCCGUAGCUGGUCUGAGAGGAUGAUCAGCCACACUGGAACUGAGACACGGUCCAGACUCCUACGGGAGGCAGCAGUGGGGAAUAUUGGACAAUGGGCGCAAGCCUGAUCCAGCCAUACCGCGUGGGUGAAGAAGGCCUUCGGGUUGUAAAGCCCUUUUGUUGGGAAAGAAAAGCAGCAGGUUAAUACCCCGCUGUUCUGACGGUACCCAAAGAAUAAGCACCGGCUAACUUCGUG